rnacentral:rRNA from 1 species
UACGGGGGGGGCAAGCGUUGUUCGGAAUUACUGGGCGUAAAGGGCGCGUAGGCGGCCUUCUAAGUCGGACGUGAAAUCCCUCGGCUUAACCGAGGAACUGCGUCCGAUACUGAAAGGCUUGAAUCCGGGAGAGGGAUGUGGAAUUCCAGGUGUAGCGGUGAAAUGCGUAGAUAUCUGGAGGAACACCGGUGGCGAAGGCGGCAUCCUGGACCGGUAUUGACGCUGAGGCGCGAAAGCUAGGGGAGCAAACAGGG